UACGUAGGGUGCGAGCGUUGUCCGGAAUUAUUGGGCGUAAAGAGCUUGUAGGCGGUUUGUCGCGUCUGCUGUGAAAACCCGGGGCUCAACUCCGGGCCUGCAGCCGAUACGGGCAGACUAGAGUUCGGCAGGGGAGACUGGAAUUCCUGGUGUAGCGGUGAAAUGCGCAGAUAUCAGGAGGAACACCGGUGGCGAAGGCGGGUCUCUGGGCCGAUACUGACGCUGAGGAGCGAAAGCGUGGGGAGCGAACAGG
rnacentral:rRNA from 1 species